rnacentral:sRNA from 1 species
GCUGGCACCGUGGCGCAUGCCUGUAAUCCCAGUGGCUCAGGAGGCUGAGGCAGGAGGAUCACAAGUUCAAAGCCAGCCUUAGCAAUGGUGAAGUGCUAAGCAACUCAGUGAGACCCUGUCUCUA